GUGCUAAGCAACUGUACCAUUUCCCUUCUAUUGAAGAGUGAAACAGCUCCCUGCCUGAAGAGAAACACGUUGUCCUCAAGCUUCCCAGUUUUAUUAGAUUCAUUCCAGGCUUGUGAAAUCUCUGUCAAUAGCGAACAAGAUCUUCCUCCUUGCGUUGUGGUGAGUGUGUGUAUGAAUUGGAACCAAAGGACAGCAACAAGACAGCUAUCCUCGCAUGCAGUGAAAAGGGCACCAAAGGAUGGGGAAGAAGGGCACCAAACAUGGAUUCCCAACAACAACGAAGAGGAAUCCAAGAUGGCUACGUGAGAAAGAUUGAAAAAUAAAGUUCCCCUACAGAGCAGUAUUUAGAAUGAAGCCCCUGGCAGAGAAGGAGCCUAGUUAAGAACUUGGGGGACCUUCUUAGCCACUUUCUGAUUCUUGGAAGCAUGAGUUAAAUUUUCUUAUGACAGAUCUGCCCUUGGUUCCCAUGUGAAAGAGGGGUCAGGAUGUGUUUCUACUGGGUUCAUAACUUGCAUAACCACUCUCUUCUCUCCAGCAACAAUCCAACAUCUGGCCAUUGUCUGAUACCACCUAAACUGUUGUCACUCCCUCUCUUCUGACUUCCUAGCAAAACAACUGUUGCUUGCAGGGCACAUGGCCAUGUAUUUGCUCACUGUGGCAAGCAUUCAUGAGCUAGGAAACCCAUCUUCAUUUUCUGGCAGAGCAACAGCUAUGCAGUCAGUCAUUUACAGACUGCUAUCCCACCUAAGAGAGGUGGCAGGGUGAAUGCAUUAAAAUGGUCUGCAUAUUUCCUGGGAAGGUUGCACCCAUGGAGUAGUGAUGGGACACUGCAUCUCCACCAGUAGACCCCUCACUUGUGGAGUUCCACAUGGCUCAAUUAUAUCCGCUGUCCUAUUGAUCAUUUACAUGCAACCACUAGGUGAACUGAUCAGAUAAUAGGGACUCAAGAGCCUGCUAUGCAGAUGACAUGCUGCUCUACUUCACUUUCAAGAUGAUCCCACUAUUACCAAGAUGUCCCAGGGCUUGGAUGAGAUCAGCUCAUGGACGAAGAACAGGUGGUUGAGCAAGUCACACGUAGGCAGAAGAAAGCAUUUUGAAGAGUUGGUAGCCAUGGUGAGGUCUCCUUUGGUUGAAGGUACACACCCACAAUUGGUUAAUUCAGUUAAUAGUUUAGAAGUAUUCUUGGAUUUCUUGCUGACACUAACUUCUUAUGCAGCAGCAGUAAUACUUUCUACUGCCUCCAGCUGCUUGGAGACACUAUUCUACCCCAGUGGGGUACAGUCAAGUCAAGCUCAAGGUCUCAAUCCUUGUCUUCAGGGUACUCAAUGGCUGGGCCCAGGUUACCCUGAAUAUCACCCGAAGCUCCAGGAAGAGGACUGGUUGACAAUUUUACUCCUCAGGCACAAUGGCACUUUCUACCACAAGGAUAAAGCGCCAUACUUCCCUCUGAUUCAGCACAGACCCAAUGUCCUAGCAAGGAAUUGUGCAGUAGAGGAUGCAAUUGGAACAGAAGUAAAUCCCUGGUCCUGACUACUUGUGAUCAUUAAACAUUUGAUGUUGUUUUUGAUAAGAGAAUAGGAGAGUGUUAACCCCAAUCAUAUUCCAGUAGCAGUGGCAACAUUCUGUGUCCUCAACUUUGCCUUUCAUUUGGAUACAGUCUCCUCAUCACUUCCUGUCCUAGAGUGUUACAGCGUAUUGCGGUGCACUAUCGCAUUAAUUAUGCCCCAGAGGUGGCAGCAUUUCAUUGGUGGAUGAAUGUAUUCCAGUAUAAAGUGUAUUACGCUUACAGAGAUGUAUAUAAAUGUAAGAGGAUGA